rnacentral:rRNA from 1 species
AGAGAGAGACAUGCGCGCAUAUCAAUAAGCGGAGGAAAAGAAACUAACAAGGAUUCCCUUAGUAACGGCGAGUGAAGCGGGAAGAGCUCAAAUUUGAAAUCUUCAGAGGUUUUUACCUUGACGAAUUGUAGUUUAAAGAAGUGUUUUCUGCUGAAGUUUUGGUAAAAGUUCUUUGGAAUAGGACAUCAUAGAGGGUGAGAAUCCCGUAUUUGACCAUUAUUUUCAGCUUUGUGAUACACUUUCAAAGAGUCGGAUUGUUUGGGAAUGCAGUCCAAAAUGGGUGGUAAAUUUCAUCUAAAGCUAAAUAUUGGCGAGAGACCGAUAGCGAACAAGUACCGUGAGGGAAAGAUGAAAAGAACUUUGAAAAGAGAGUUAAACAGUACGUGAAAUUGUCAAAAGGGAAGCGUUUGACACCAGUGUUGUUUUCUCGAAAAUCAAUUAAAAAUGGCUCGAUUUUGUAUUGUUGAGACCUUAAAAGCUCACUGUACAUUUUUCGUGUCUUUUUUAAUGCACUUUUCGUUUAACAAGUCAACAUCAGUUUCUUUUGUUGUAAAAGGGUCAUUGGAAGGUGGCUUUCUUUUCGGAGAAAGUGUUUAUGGCCUUUGGCCUCUGCAAUCGAAGAGACUGAGGUCUGCAGCGUAGACUCUUCGGGGUUAGAUACAUUUGUGCUAAGUUAUAGCUUUUUAUAGACAACUUGUUGACUAUAAUUAGUCUUGUAGCUUACUCGCUUAUGCUAUUUUACCUACGCUUAGGAUGUUGAGUCGUAGAGCACGCAG